rnacentral:lncRNA from 1 species
AGAAUUGAGAGGCCAAGGUGACUGCUAUUUAAGAGGCUAAAGAUCUCAACAAACUAACCUUAGAAGAACUUAUAGGCUUACUCAUGACUUAUGAAUUGAGCAUGAACCAAAACAUAGAAGAAGUAAAAAAAGAAAGAUCAUUGCACUAAAAUCAUCUAUCAUGGAAGAGCUGAAAAGUGAUUCAUUAGAAGAUUCAGAAAAUAAAGAUGAGAUGGCAAUGAUUAUCAGAAGAUUUAAGAGGUUUAUGAAAAGAAAGAAAUUCUUCCUAAAAAAAAUGAUAUACA